UCAUCUUGUGAUAUUGAGGGAGUUGGAUAAGGGCGAGCUUGCCUGGCCUUCUUUUGUUUGCUUGCUUCAGAGGCAUGAGUAAAUGGGUUCGGGGGAGGGCGAAUUCUAACCGGUUUGGUCACCACAGGAGGGACAGGGUCCUGAGAAGAGGAUGAGUUCAGAUGCGGGUUAGGGCGUGGUGAUGUAGGGUUGCACGAAAUAGUGCUGAGGGAGAAGUUAUAAAAUGGGUUAUGAGGUAUCCGUUGAGCAUCGACAACAGGUAUCAGAGAAGUGGGCUGGGCUAAGGGAGGUAGAAGUGAUAAAGGUGGGUUAAGUCCAUGUUCUAAGGUAGUAGGGGUUGAAAGGAAAAGUCCAGGCCCAUGUGUUGAUCCCUAGAGCCCGCAAGGGUAAAGUUGGAAAGAGCGGGCAACAAGGUUAGGAUGGCUUGGGUCAUCUCAGAUUUUGGAGGAUGUGAGCAGGGAGGGAGGGCAGAUGGAGACUGGAGCAGCAGAAUGAUCUGGUGUGGGCACAAUGUGAGGGUGAGAGGGGGUUAAGACUGCUCACGAUCCAAGGAUGAUUGGGCGUACUGGAAUUAUCUGGAUGAGGAGUGGUGGGAGGGCAGAGGAUUUGUGAGUAGGCGUGGUGUUGGUACACCUGGUGGAUGAAAUCUAGCAAGUGGGGACCAGGUUCGGAGGGUCUGGAGAUUCUAUGCAGUAGGUGGAGGGGCUAGAGUGAGCUUCAUCAACAGCUCCGGCGGAGGGUGAUCGCAGGAGACGGUUUCGUAAAAGGGGACAAUGGGGCAUCGAGGAAUGACUUCCGUCCAUACACAUGUGAAUGGCGUUAGCAAUAAGCCUUUUAUCUGGAGGGGUAGCUCUGAUUUCGUAUCCAAAUCUUCUAGCAGGUGACGGUGCCGUUGAAGCCACACUGGAAUUCAAGAAAGUUGAGGAGCAUCUGGAAUCCUCAUGCCCAAGUAAACCACAAAUGAAACUGAGUAGCAGUAGUCAUUCAUAUUUUACCUGGAAAUCACAUUGGUGUCCCGAACGACGUUUGAUAGGGAUAGAAGCUCUGAGAGGAUUUCGGAUGUCGGAUGUCGGAUGUCGGAUGUCGGAUGUCGAUGGAAACUCUGGCUCUGAUAUAAUGUUGACACUUUCCUGCCUGUGUCCUCGAAUGAGCUUCACACAUAUUGUAGAGCCCAGUUCCUUGGCUGUUAGGCCACCAAUAUUAAGCUCAAGAAGUUCGAGGCUAGCAGAGUGUAGUUGAACCCAGAAGGACAUCGGGCUGAAGCUCCAUUCCUGAUUAUUCUUCCACAUUUCAAGCACUAAAGGGUUACCCGCUACCGACAAUGGUUCCUCCUCCAAGACAUUCUCAUGGUCAGCUCUGUGGUGAAAUAGAAUAGUAAUUUAUUCUGCUCCAGGGAGAAACAUCCACAAGAAACUUAGGAUGUGUUUGGUAUGUGUUCUUGGAACACAUUCUAGGCCUCGAAUGCAUUCUACGAUGAAAAAAGUACUAUUUGGUGUGCAUUCUCAUUCAUGAGAACUGGAAUGCAAUGGAGAACGAGACUCGUUUUAGAACGGGUAUAUUGGUCCAUUCUACGUUCUGAAAAAUUGGGGAUAAAACUUGUUCUGGAAGGCCGCGAUGAACUUGAUUUCAUCCUCGACAUUUCAUCCUCGACCUAGGGAGCGUCUGAGGGAGCUUCAUGGAGAAGAAUUUGUGAGCUGACGGAGCUUCAGCGAUCAACCCUCUCCUGUCGACUUCUCAUCAAACCCUAACGGCACAGCGGUUAGGAGACAUAGGCGUCGUCGUCUAGACUAACUAUGCAGAGGUGGUGAAUUUGUUUAAGGAGGAUCAAAGUACCUGGCCAUGAGAGAUUUUUUUUUUUUUUGGAUUUGAAAUAUUUGAGUAGAUGUUUUGUAUUUUUUAAUCUGGUGAAACAAUGUAGUGAUCAAGUGGUAACGGCGCAUCAAUUAGCUACUAAAUGAAUGGAUCUAUAAUCAACUUCUAA